CCGAGUUCUGGCUGCAGAAAUGCGGUCAACUCCCACCCCAUGUCAACUUCUCGUUGCUUCGGCGAGCCGACAGCUUUGCUGCCGUCGGUUUAACGGGCGUGAGCUCGCCGAAGUUUUUAAACACAUUCUUUUGCAGUCUGAUUUAAAUGAGAAUUUAUAA
rnacentral:misc_RNA from 1 species